CGUGUAGGCGGCCAGGCAGGUCCGUUGUGAAAACUGGAGGCUCAACUUCCAGACGUCGAUGGAAACCGCCCGGCUAGAGUCCGGAAGAGGAGAGUGGAAUUCCUGGUGUAGCGGUGAAAUGCGCAGAUAUCAGGAAGAACACCAAUGGCGAAGGCAGCUCUCUGGGACGGUACUGACGCUGAGACGCGAAAGCGUGGGAGCGAACA
rnacentral:rRNA from 1 species